rnacentral:lncRNA from 1 species
UGCCUCCUUUAGAUAUUACGCAUUUAGCUAAAUCCUACCUCUCUGCAGGCCAAUACUUUUCAUGUUAACUUUCAAGAGUUAGCAGCUGAGAAAGCUCGACAGAAUCAGGCAGCAGGACAAAUUACAGGACACCCAGAAAUUACAGAAGAAAUGCUGAUUAACAGGUCGCCUCUCUGAUCUGAUCACACAGCUAACACUUUCAGACCAGGAAUAUCAGCAAAUGGCUCUUAUAAUGAAACAAGCCUGGGUAACUAUUUCUGAAGAUAGUAUUACCACUCAGCCCUUCUUAUACAUUCUACAAGGCCCUGGAAAUGGACAGAUGAUGUGGGUACCCUCUAGGAGCAUAUGAUCAUGGAGAAGUCCUCCCCAUGACGUGUCCAUGAAGGAACCUGACUCUGCUCUCAACAGUGAAAGCCUUCCCUCACACAACUGAAGAAAACUACUCAGGAGGCAGAAAGACUUGUUCAUGGUAGGCAGCUACCCAAGAUGAGAAUGACUGGCAUCUAUCAAGGGCUCUUUGAAUGGACCCUCUGGAAGGUAUCUUUGACUGCCAAUCACAACUAUGCCUCUCUUCAACAGGAAGUAGUUAAGAGUGGUCUGCGUCC